rnacentral:rRNA from 1 species
UACGAAGGGGGCUAGCGUUGCUCGGAAUCACUGGGCGUAAGGGGUGCGUAGGCGGGUUUUUAAGUCAGGGGUGAAAUCCUGGAGCUCAACUCCAGAACUGCCUUUGAUACUGAAGAUCUUGAGUCCGGGAGAGGUGAGUGGAACUGCGAGUGUAGAGGUGAAAUUCGUAGAUAUUCGCAAGAACACCAGUGGCGAAGGCGGCUCACUGGCCCGGUACUGACGCUGAGGCACGAAAGCGUGGGGAGCAAACAGG